rnacentral:rRNA from 1 species
GACGAACCGUGCGAACGUUAUUCGGAAUCACUGGGCUUAAAGGGCGCGUAGGCGGGUUGCCAAGUCUGUGGUGAAAUCCUCCAGCUUAACUGGAGAACGGCCGUGGAUACUGGCGACCUCGAGGGGGGUAGGGGCUUGCGGAACUGUGCGUGGAGCGGUGAAAUUCGUAGAUAUUCGCAAGAACACCAGUGGCGAAGGCGGCUCACUGGCCCGAUACUGACGCUGAGGCACGAAAGCGUGGGGAGCAAACAGG